GAGAUAUACCUGCUGGCGCGCGUACCACGGGUGGGUGCUGCUAUGGUGACCAGUGAGCUGAGAUAAGGCGGGUAUUGUUUUAUUGUCUUGUCAAGUAUUUCAAUAAAGCGUUACUUUACUUCCAUGUUUGUUCAGUACAUAUUUUAUUUGUAUGUAAUUCCCUCCUUUGUGCUCAGCCCAGCAUUCCCUUACCAAGGAGACAUUUGCCUUCAUCAAUGAUGCUGUCUGUUUACAUCACAAAAUGUAGUUGGACGUGUUUUGGAAGUAUCAAUUUGAUGCAAUGCCUUGCUUAUGUUGUCAUUGUCCUUUUACUAUAAUUUAAUGUUCACAUUUUUUAUAUUGAUCCCAAAUUAGCCACCCUUUGCCCUUGCAUUGGGGACUUCAAGUGAAGCAUGAUUAUUGAGUAUUGACCCUACCACAAUACAUUGACAGAGAGAGAUGCAGAUAGAUUAUGCACUUAGACAUGGAUGUUGAUUAAGGCUAUCCUCCGCACCUCUCUGAUUCAGAGGGGUUGGGUUAAAUGCAGAAGACACAUUUCAGUUGAAUGCAUUCAGUUGUACAACUGACUAGGUAUCCCCCUUUCCUUUAUUUAUCCCCUACACUGUUAUUUAUUAUGGAGCAUGUUACAGGCCAAAAAGAAAGCAACUUAACCUAAGGCCACACCCAGUAAAGUUAUCUAGUGCAGAACAGUAGGCAUACCAACAUCACCUAGAAAGAAAUCAUCUUAAAUUGUGACUAUAUUACAAAGGUACAUUGCAUCCUUGUGUGACAUUCCUUCUUUCCCAGCUCAAUAGGAAACAAUGGCGGACAACAGUGACCUAAAAGCCCAGCUAGAGCGCAAGAAGCAGCGGCUAGCUCAGAUCAGGGAGGAGAAGGAGAGGAAACAGGAGGAGAGGAAGGAGGUAAGGAGGAAAAAUACAGAGACGCAUCAGAAGGCUGAAGCUGCCUCCGUGGACUAGGACCGUGACUUGGACCGGAAGCGCAGAGAGACAGAGGCGGAAUCUCCCCAGGACCACCACUAGUCCCCAUCCCCAUGUCCCCAUCCAAAUGAGUGAGCCGACACAGCACCCCCAGUGAGACGAGAAGCCAGGACUCAGCUGAUGGGGCAUCAGCCGGCAGGCGCAGGAUACAUAGACUGGGGGCGUCUAAGAUCACACAGGUAGACUUCCUACCCAGAUAGGUGGUGUCGUACUGCAAAGAGACUCAGACGGCCAUCACCCAUCUAUCUGAGGGUGAGUGUGUAAGGUGCGCCUGUGUGCGUGCCUGUGAGUAUUUUAUCAUUACCGUUCUCUCAAUUGCUCCCUCUAUAACCUUCUCUCUAAAAAAUACAUACACUUUUAAAUGUUUUUAUGAUUCCAUUAAAACCAUCAAAAGCAGAGUCCACAUUAAUCUGAUCGUCAUUACUGCUGUAGUGUGCUUUACCACCUGCUUUGAAAACAUGGAGCACUUUAAAUCCAUUUGACUGGCACAGCCCUCCAUUUCCUGAGAGAGAGA